CCUACGGGUGGCAGCAGUGAGGAAUAUUGGUCAAUGGACGAGAGUCUGAACCAGCCAAGUAGCGUGAAGGAUGACUGCCCUAUGGGUUGUAAACUUCUUUUAUAUGGGAAUAAAACGUUCCACGUGUGGGAUUUUGUAUGUACCAUAUGAAUAAGGAUCGGCUAACUCCGUGCCAGCAGCCGCGGUAAUACGGAGGAUGCGAGCGUUAUCCGGAUUUAUUGGGUUUAAAGGGAGCGUAGGUGGAUUGUUAAGUCAGUUGUGAAAGUUUGCGGCUCAACCGUAAAAUUGCAGUUGAAACUGGCAGUCUUGAGUACAGGAGAGGUGGGCGGAAUUCGUGGUGUAGCGGUGAAAUGCUUAGAUAUCACGAAGAACUCCGAUUGCGAAGGCAGUUCACUGGACUGCAACUGACACUGAGGCUCGAAAGUGUGGGUAUCAAACAGGAUUAGAUACCCUUGUAGUC
rnacentral:rRNA from 1 species